UACAGAGGGUGCGAGCGUUAAUCGGAGUUACUGGGCGUAAAGGGCGCGUAGGCGGUUAUAUAAGUGAGAUGUGAAAUCCCUGGGCUUAACCUAGGAACUGCAUCUCAUACUGUAUACUGGAGUAUUGUAGAGGGUAGUGGAAUUUCCGGUGUAGCGGUGAAAUGCGUAGAGAUCGGAAGGAACACCAGUGGCGAAGGCGGCUACCUGGACAAAUACU
rnacentral:rRNA from 1 species